rnacentral:lncRNA from 10 species
UUUCGUCUUAGCCACGCAGAAGUCGCGUGUCUAGGUGAGUCGCGGUGGGUCCUCGCUUGCAGUUCAGCGACCACGAACACAGAUAUGUAGAACUCUUCUUGAAUUCUACAGCAGGAGCAAGCGGUGGUGCUUACGGUAACCAAGGAGCAGUGAACAGCAGCUACUACAGUAGUGGAAGCCGUGCAUCUAUGGGCGUGAACGGAAUGGGAGGGUUGUCUAGCAUGUCCAGUAUGAGUGGUGGAUGGGGAAUGUAAUUGAUCGAUCCUGAUCACUGACUCUUGGUCAACCUUUUUUUUUUUUUUUUUUUUUUCUUUAAGAAAACUUCAGUUUAACAGUUUCUGCAAUACAAGCUUGUGAUUUAUGCUUACUCUAAGUGGAAAUCAGGAUUGUUAUGAAGACUUAAGGCCCAGUAUUUUUGAAUACAAUACUCAUCUAGGAUGUAACAGUGAAGCUGAGUAAACUAUAACUGUUAAACUUAAGUUCCAGCUUUUCUCAAGUUAGUUAUAGGAUGUACUUAAGCAGUAAGCGUAUUUAGGUAAAAGCAGUUGAAUUAUGUUAAAUGUUGCCCUUUGCCACGUUAAAUUGAACACUGUUUUGGAUGCAUGUUGAAAGACAUGCUUUUAUUUUUUUGUAAAACAAUAUAGGAGCUGUGUCUACUAUUAAAAGUGAAACAUUUUGGCAUGUUUGUUAAUUCUAGUUUCAUUUAAUAACCUGUAAGGCACGUAAGUUUAAGCUUUUUUUUUUUUUAAGUUAAUGGGAAAAAUUUGAGACGCAAUACCAAUACUUAGGAUUUUGGUCUUGGUGUUUGUAUGAAAUUCUGAGGCCUUGAUUUAAAUCUUUCAUUGUAUUGUGAUUUCCUUUUAGGUAUAUUGCGCUAAGUGAAACUUGUCAAAUAAAUCCUCCUUUUAAAAACUGC